rnacentral:tRNA from 1 species
GUUUAAUUGGUUUAGUGGUCAAAACUUUGGCGUGUAAAGCCAAAGGUCCCGGGUUCGAUUUCCGACAACA